rnacentral:rRNA from 1 species
UACGUAGGGGGCAAGCGUUGUCCGGAUUUAUUGGGCGUAAAGAGCGUGUAGGCGGCCAGGUAGGUCUGCUGUGAAAACUCGAGGCUUAACUUCGAGCUGGCGGCGGAAACCAUCUGGCUAGAGUCCGGAAGAGGAGAAUGGAAUUCCCGGUGUAGCGGUGAAAUGCGCAGAUAUCGGGAAGAACACCCGUGGCGAAGGCGGUUCUCUGGGACGGUACUGACGCUGAGACGCGAAAGCGUGGGGAGCGAACAGG